rnacentral:rRNA from 1 species
GACGAACGCUGGCGGCGUGCCUAACACAUGCAAGUCGAACGGAAAACAUAGCAAUAUGUUUUUAGUGGCGAACGGGUGAGUAACGCGUAGACAACCAACCUUUUUGUGGGGGACAACACUUCGAAAGGAGUGCUAAUACCGCAUACGCUCCAGAUGCCGCCUGGUGUUUGGAGGAAAGGAGCUUUACGGCUUCGCACAAAGACGGGUCUGCGUCUGAUUAGCUAGUUGGAGGGGUAACGGCCCACCAAGGGGACGAUCCGUAGCCGGUCUGAGAGGAUGGACGGCCACACUGGGACUGAGACACGGCCCAGACUCCUACGGGAGGCAGCAGGGGGGAAUCUUCCGCAAUGGACGAAAGUCUGACGGAGCGACGCCGCGUGAGUGAUGAAGGCCCUUGGGUCGUAAAGCUCUGUCAUCAGGGACGAACGGUCACGUCAGGAAAUGGGCGUGAAUUGACGGUACCUGAGAAGGAAGCCACGGCUAACUCGUGCCAGCCGCCGCGGUA